rnacentral:lncRNA from 1 species
CGACUGCGGGAAAUCGAGUUCUCAUGCUGGGGCGAAAGGUGUGUCUGCAGGAGCCAAAUCCAAAUGAGCAGUCCAGGUACUUCAGAGUUUUAACCUGAGCGAAACAGGAAUGUCUCGGGUCUUAACAGGACCGUCCGCCCGCUCGGAAGAGGCGAAUCUCCCACGGCAGACGUCUGGGUGUGCGAAUGCCAGUUGAGCGGGGCCUCGAGGACGCGUCACACACAGCGAGGAUUUGAGGAGGGAAGCGCCUUCCAGAGCUUCAGAGAAGAGGCAGAAGUGUGCAAACAGGAGCAGGUCCAAGAUUUGCAUGGCCAGAAGCAAUUCUUGAUCCUCUUGGCUAGAUUCGAAGAUUUGGCCACCUCCAGACGCUACCACACUCUGGGACAGUGGGAGAUUUGGAACAGCUUUGAGAAGAGCAAGGUGAGCUGGGACUUCCUGGAGCAGGCUGCCCAGGAAAAGCCAUUCCAUGGCAGAACUUGCGAGGGUGAGGUCG